CUUGGCCUCUUCUUGACAUGGUGAUGCCGUGCCGUCUGCCAACCAUCCUACUGCCCGCCUAUUAUUCUUCAGACUCUGGCACCUUCCUGAUUAUGUUAAUUAAUUCGAAUUAAUUAUCAACACACUUUGAUUUAGAAAGAUAACCUUCAAUCCUCACCCAUCAAAAGAACUAAAUAACAACAUGGAUAGUCGUCCAGCCUCCGAAGUCACGCCAAAGUCUAAGCCGAAGACGGCUCAGUCAACUAUCCGAGGGCGACGGCUUUUCCAAGAGGACGGCGAAGAAGAGAGUUCUCCGAGAAGCGAUCCAAAAAUGCCAAGGCUUCAGCGAUACGAUGCGAAUGACGGGAAAAGAAGAUGUUCUUGUUGUGAUUGUCAAUAGUAGAUCAAUACACAUAAUAAUAUAUUUUAAAUCUUUAUAAUGAACAGAGCAAACGAGUGGGGACA